rnacentral:rRNA from 1 species
UACAGAGGGGGCAAGCGUUAUUCGGAAUUAUUGGGCGUAAAGGGCGCGUAGGCGGCCUGGCAAGUGGGAGGGGAAAUCCCUCGGCUUAACCGAGGAACUGCCCUCCAAACUGCUUGGCUUGAGUCCGGGAGAGGUGAGUGGAAUUCCCAGUGUAGCGGUGAAAUGCGUAGAUAUUGGGAGGAACACCAGUGGCGAAGGCGGCUCACUGGACCGGAACUGACGCUGAGGCGCGAAAGCGUGGGGAGCAAACGGG